CAGCUUGCUGUUUCGCUGACGAGUGGCGGACGGGUGAGUAAUGUCUGGGAAACUGCCUGAUGGAGGGGGAUAACUACUGGAAACGGUAGCUAAUACCGCAUAACGUCGCAAGACCAAAGAGGGGGACCUUCGGGCCUCUUGCCAUCGGAUGUGCCCAGAUGGGAUUAGCUAGUAGGUGGGGUAACGGCUCACCUAGGCGACGAUCCCUAGCUGGUCUGAGAGGAUGACCAGCCACACUGGAACUGAGACACGGUCCAGACUCCUACGGGAGGCAGCAGUGGGGAAUAUUGCACAAUGGGCGCAAGCCUGAUGCAGCCAUGCCGCGUGUAUGAAGAAGGCCUUCGGGUUGUAAAGUACUUUCAGCGGGGAGGAA
rnacentral:rRNA from 2 species